rnacentral:rRNA from 1 species
UACGGGGGGGGCAAGCGUUGUUCGGAAUUACUGGGCGUAAAGGGCUCGUAGGUGGCCAACUAAGUCAGACGUGAAAUCCCUCGGCUCAACCGGGGAACUGCGUCUGAUACUGGAUGGCUUGAGUGUGGGGAGAGGGAUGCGGGAAUUCCAGGUGUAGCGGUGAAAUGCGUAGAUAUCUGGAGGAACACCGGUGGCGAAGGCGGCAUCCUGGACCACGACUGACGCUGAGGAGCGAAAGUGUGGGGAGCGAACAGG